CGCCUGCAGCCAAGCUGAAAACAGUUCUCAUGACUAUGUCUCAUCCCGGAAAGAAGAUCCUUCAUGGCAUGGUCGCUUUCAUCUCAUCAUGAGCUGAGUGUCCAAUACUUACUGAGAUGUGGUCCCCACGUUAAAGAACUUUAGAAAUUGUAAGGCCGCGUGCACCCCUGCCCAUACCUUGAUGUUCCAACCCCCUUGGGUACCAAGAAGGACAGGAAGAUAGAGAAAAUGAUGGUGACGUGGGAGGAGGAAGGAGCCCCUC
rnacentral:lncRNA from 1 species